CUUCCUAUGCAUCGUGACUGACAGUGAAGACUGCAACUGAGUGCUUUUCUUUCUCAGCAGGGGCACAGAAAGGCAGGCCUCCUCUCUUCCAUAGAGGCAGUUAUCUCAAUGUGAGAAUCAGUCACUGCUCUCUGGAAGACGGAUGAUUUGAACCACAUUUGAACCCAUGAGUGAAGAAAAGGAACCAGACAGAAGAGAGUGAACAGGACGGAGGGGGACCAGGCAGACAGUGGAGCAAACAGAUGGCAACAAGGAGUCAGGAACAUGCCUUUGCUACAGGAAGGUCAGAGCAUCCCUCAACCCUUGUCAGAGAAGCUGCUCACCAUAGACAGCAAUUAACACAGAGACUCCCAAGCGGUCACUGUGCAGAGAAUCAGAGACAUGGAGCGCUUAGUCCUCAAGGGGACGUGUUUAUCACAUAGCUCCCAUCAGAGAUCAUGGAUCCUUGAGAAAGAGGGAACAGAAAUGUUGUAAGAUGCAGAGGUGGCAGAGAAGAGGAAAGAAACAGUGGUUUCCAGCUCCAACAGGACAGCUGAACACACAAACUCAGUACCUGUGACAGCAUGUACAAGACCUGGUCAACAAAAUCCCAGCAUAGAGCGGGGCAGGUGGGCCAAAAUCCCACAACUGGCUCCAGAGUUAUUUGAUAAGAUGGAUCUAGCAUCAGGAGAGUCAGUUUUCUUUAAUUAUGCGAAUCCAGGUGGGUGCACCACACACAUUCCUGAGACCAGCUGGAAAACAUAAGCUGGCCUUGCCGGUUGUGGGGGAUGGGGAAGAGAAUGAUUCUGGGAUGGGAUGGGAUGGGGGAGAAGUAGACAAAUACGUCAUAUGAAAUUCUCAGAAUUAAAAAUCAUUAAACAGA